rnacentral:misc_RNA from 1 species
GUAGGUGAACCUGCGGAAGGAUCAUUAAACAUCAUCGGGGGGUUGGAUCCAGAAUGUAGGGCUUCGGCCUUGCUUUCUGCCCUUCCCUUACUGAUUAUACCCAUGUCUUUUGCGUACUAUUUGUUUCCUUGGUAGGCUUGCCUGCCGAUAGGACAUCAUUAAACCUUUUGUAAUUGCAGUCAGCGUCAGAAAAACAUAAUAAUUACAACUUUUAACAACGGAUCUCUUGGUUCUGGCAUCGAUGAAGAAC